rnacentral:rRNA from 1 species
AUUGAACGCUGGCGGCAGGCCUAACACAUGCAAGUCGAGCGGAUGAAGGGAGCUUGCUCCUGGAUUCAGCGGCGGACGGGUGAGUAAUGCCUAGGAAUCUGCCUGGUAGUGGGGGAUAACGUCCGGAAACGGGCGCUAAUACCGCAUACGUCCUGAGGGAGAAAGUGGGGGAUCUUCGGACCUCACGCUAUCAGAUGAGCCUAGGUCGGAUUAGCUAGUUGGUGGGGUAAAGGCCUACCAAGGCGACGAUCCGUAACUGAUCUGAGAGGAUGAUCAGUCACACUGGAACUGAGACACGGUCCAGACUCCUACGGGAGGCAGCAGUGGGGAAUAUUGGACAAUGGGCGAAAGCCUGAUCCAGCCAUGCCGCGUGUGUGAAGAAGGCCUUCGGAUUGUAAAGCACUUUAAGUUGGGAGGAAGGGCAGUAAGUUAAUACCUUGCUGUUUUGACGUUACCAACAGAAUAAGCACCGGCUAACUUCGUG